rnacentral:lncRNA from 1 species
CCCUCGCCUUCGAUUUAAAUUCUUCGCUUAGUGGCUCGCCCUCCCUCAGCGACAGACCAUCUUCCCCCUUCCCACCGCUCGCGGAGAUCCCAAGAAUAACCCCCAACACUGAUUAGCGAAUCCUCUUGGCGGACGGCCUGCAUUCCCCAAAUCGUCGCCUCUUAUCGGUUCUCUCAGGGAUUCUUCCAUCGCUGGUGGGGCGAUCGGUCGCUGGAAAUGGCGAACAACCUCGGCGCCGGCCGUUCAUGGGGUGGAAGACAUCAUCAGCAAGAUCCGCGACGAUUUUAUCCACUAGAGCCCUGGAGAGCGUGCUCAACUAGAUCCAGGCGGUAAUCCGUUCUUUCUCUUCGAUUCUGGGACUUCGAAGCUCUUGUGGGCUUAUUACAGUUCCCAGGGAAAGAUCCGAGAUGUGGGAAACAAGGAUGGUGCAGGACGACAUCAUCAGCCACAGCACCAUCGAGAGGUUGUCCAUCCAGAGGAACGCGGCCCUAUCACUGAGAUGCUCUUUCCGAUGGUGAGCUCGCUGUCCCGUUUCUCUAUUCCACUUGAUUCCGCACACUCACUUUACCUCUGUAACACACAAAAUUCCACAGCUUCAAUGGAUCUAUUUUUUACUAGCAGGUCGACAGCAAAAGGGCAUCUGAUGCCCGAUGCGGCAGCAUCACAAUAUCACAGGCAACGAGAAGGAUUAAGAGGAAAAAGUAAUAUCAAACAAAUUCGCCUACAACAUCGUCUAAACCUUCAGGGAGGUGGUUGCGUCUUCUAACAAACCAGCU